rnacentral:rRNA from 1 species
UACCGGCAGCACGAGUGAUGGCCGAUCUUAUUGGGCCUAAAGCGUCCGUAGCCGGCCAGACGGGUCCGUCGGGAAAUCUGCACGCCCAACGUGCAGGCGUCCGGCGGAAACCAGCUGGCUCGGGGCCGGAAGACCCAGGGGGUACGUCUGGGGUAGGAGUGAAAUCCCGUAAUCCUGGACGGACCGCCGGUGGCGAAAGCGCCCUGGGAGGACGGACCCGACGGUGAGGGACGAAAGCUAGGGUCACGAACCGG